rnacentral:rRNA from 2 species
AUGCAAGUCGAGCGAACUGAUUAGAAGCUUGCUUCUAUGACGUUAGCGGCGGACGGGUGAGUAACACGUGGGCAACCUGCCUGUAAGACUGGGAUAACUUCGGGAAACCGAAGCUAAUACCGGAUAGUAUCUUCUCCUUCAUGGUAGAUGAUUGAAAGAUGGUUUCGGCUAUCACUUACAGAUGGACCCGCGGUGCAUUAGCUAGUUGGUGAGGUAACGGCUCACCAAGGCAACGAUGCAUAGCCGACCUGAGAGGGUGAUCGGCCACACUGGGACUGAGACACGGCCCAGACUCCUACGGGAGGCAGCAGUAGGGAAUCUUCCGCAAUGGACGAAAGUCUGACGGAGCAACGCCGCGUGAGUGAUGAAGGCUUUCGGGUCGUAAAACUCUGUUGUUAGGGAAGAACAAGUACAAGAGUAACUGCUUGUACCUUGACGGUACCUAACCAGAAAGCCACGGCUAACUACGUGCCAGCAGCCGCGGUAAUACGUAGGUGGCAAGCGUUAUCCGGAAUUAUUGGGCGUAAAGCGCGCGCAGGCGGUUUCUUAAGUCUGAUGUGAAAGCCCACGGCUCAACCGUGGAGGGUCAUUGGAAACUGGGGAACUUGAGUGCAGAAGAGAAAAGCGGAAUUCCACGUGUAGCGGUGAAA